UACGGGGGGGGCAAGCGUUGUUCGGAAUUACUGGGCGUAAAGGGCUCGUAGGCGGCCAACUAAGUCGGAUGUGAAAUCCCCAGGCUCAACCUGGGAACUGCAUCCGAUACUGGAUGGCUUGAAUCCGGGAGAGGGAUGCAGAAUUCCUGGUGUAGCGGUGAAAUGCGCAGAUAUCAGGAGGAACACCGGUGGCGAAGGCGGGUCUCUGGGCCGAUACUGACGCUGAGGAGCGAAAGCGUGGGGAGCAAACAGG
rnacentral:rRNA from 1 species